rnacentral:rRNA from 1 species
UGGGGAAUUUUGGACAAUGGGCGAAAGCCUGAUCCAGCAAUGCCGCGUGUGUGAAGAAGGCCUUCGGGUUGUAAAGCACUUUUGUCCGGAAAGAAAUCCUUGGCUCUAAUACAGUCGGGGGAUGACGGUACCGGAAGAAUAAGCACCGGCUAACUACGUGCCAGCAGCCGCGGUAAUACGUAGGGUGCAAGCGUUAAUCGGAAUUACUGGGCGUAAAGCGUGCGCAGGCGGUUUGCUAAGACCGAUGUGAAAUCCCCGGGCUCAACCUGGGAACUGCAUUGGUGACUGGCAGGCUAGAGUAUGGCAGAGGGGGGUAGAAUUCCACGUGUAGCAGUGAAAUGCGUAGAGAUGUGGAGGAAUACCGAUGGCGAAGGCAGCCCCCUGGGCCAAUACUGACGCUCAUGCACGAAAGCGUGGGGAGCAAACAGGAUUAGAUACCCUGGUAGUCCACGCCCUAAACGAUGUCAACUAGUUGUUGGGGAUUCAUUUCCUUAGUAACGUAGCUAACGCGUGAAGUUGACCGCCUGGGGAGUACGGUCGCAGGAUUAAAACUCAAAUGAAUUGACGGGGUCAUA